GAGGGACAGAAAGAGGGAGGGGGAGAGGGAGAGAAGGAAAGAGAGACACACAAAACAAAGAAAAUGACACAACUGGUUACAAGAGGCCACAAGGCACAAUCACCACUCUGUUGCCCCAGGAAACUGGGGAACAGUGACUCCGGGAGCCGAC